ACACAUCUGGACCGAGAAGAACAUCGAUUAAAAGAGAAAGUUUAACAACGACUGAGUCAAAUUGAGCAAAGACGAACAUUGAGCAAUAUUGAGUGAUUGAAUGCAUAUACGGAUGAAGAAAAUAAAAAGACAUUUGUCAGAAAUUUGCAAUGCCACUCCUGUUGCUGAGAUAUGAACCUUCAUGAAAAGCAGUUCUGUCCAAGUGAUGUCUGUAUGGAACCAUUUCAAUGGAAAGGGAACUACACGAACCUCUUUUUGUGAUGGACAGGUUUUAUUGUUCAACAAAACGUCUUAAAUUAAGAUUUUUUUUAUUUGAGGCAUAUCCAUAUUACAAAACUUAUACACUUGUACAUCACAUGAAAUAAAGGUAUUUGAAUCUAAA